UCCUACGGGGCGCAGCAGUGAGGAAUAUUGGUCAAUGGUCGGGAGACUGAACCAGCCAAGCCGCGUGAGGGAUGAAGGUACAGAGUAUCGUAAACCUCUUUUGUCAGGGAACAAAGGCGGGGACGUGUCCCCGGAUGAGUGUACCUGAAGAAAAAGCAUCGGCUAACUCCGUGCCAGCAGCCGCGGUAAUACGGAGGAUGCGAGCGUUAUCCGGAUUUAUUGGGUUUAAAGGGUGCGCAGGCGGUCUGUUAAGUCAGCGGUCAAAGCCCGGGGCUCGACCCUGGCCCGCCGUUGAAACUGGCAGG
rnacentral:rRNA from 1 species